rnacentral:lncRNA from 11 species
CUUCAAUGGAUGGUUGAACUAAAGGUGGGAGAAGGCAAUCCUGUAUGAUUGGGCCACAACAUUUCUGACAGAAGCUAAAUGUUGCUGCCAUGGAGGGUAGCUUGGAAGCCAAAUGCCAAAGAUGUUUAAAAGUCACUCCCACUGUUCAGGAGUCUGCUUUGGAAGCCUCUCUUACUGCCUUGACUAUGUGGAGGAAGAAAAGACAACAAACACCAAUGUCCCCUAAGGACUAAGAAAAUAGAUAAUGACACAAGGAUGUGUAGAGAAAUUUCAAAUAUGUUCACUCCGCUUUCAGAAAUAUGCACCUCGACUUCUAC